GAAUGUAUUGCGUCACAAUAGCAAGAAACCCUAUAUAAGAGCAGACUUGGUCUAACUACUACAACUGCUGAUCUGCUUCAUUUACAUUUCGGACUUUUACUGUAUGGAAUUGCGCAGGAAAACUGGACGGAACAUCUGUUCGGAGCAGGAAAAACGGAGCCCACUUUCGGCGACAGGUGUCUACGCACUUGUGCACUUCUUGAGCUGAAAACGCUAUACAGCGAUUUUCAAGCCUGUGUGUCUACACACUUGUGCGCUUCUUGAGCUGAAAACGUUAUACAACGCGUUUCAAGCCUGUGCGAGCAAAGAAUGGACCAGAGUUUCCACAUGUUCCUUCGAGAACAACGGAGGUUAUUGCCACCUUCAUCAAUGAAAAGAUUGAAUGCCAUGCUGUCCAUGGUAUGACAGAUGACCAGCUAAUUAAAUACGUGCCCAAAAUUGGAGAUCGGAUAGCUAUUCGGCAGUACUGCAGAAGAGAAGUGGCUGCGUUGGAAGGAACCACCACAACUAUCUCUAAGGCUACAGAAAGCCUGAUGGCAAAAAUAAACCAAAGACGGGACUCCAAGAGAAGUCGUGGGGAUGAUCGUUCAGAAAAAUUGUCGGGUAACUGUAAUGCUCUGAAAAUGGAGCAUGCUUUUCAAAUGGGAUUGUUUGAAGAACUAGGAGGCUCUUGUAUUCAGGUAAAAGAGAAAAGGGGAGGAGGGAUCAGACAUUUGAAAGCAUUGAAAACUACUACAAUGGCACAGCUGUUGGAGACUGGCAAAUAACUCUUUUUUUCCAAAUGGAAAAUGUAAAACAGGCAAUGCCAAUGAAUUUGAAUUCACCAUGCGAGAUGUUACUGAAGAUCAGCUGGAUCCAUUGACCACACUAGCUCAGCAAUAUGAGAAGAGAAAAGUUAGAUUGUUGAGACUAUCUAUCUUGCAAAAAGAUUGACAUUGAUGCAGAUGAAACACUGAAUGCUGCUACCUCACCUGGUGAAUCACAAAAUGCAUCAGCCCUCACAAGUGAAUCAUGCUGUGCAGCUGCUGCUUCACAUGGAGCUGUUUCCAUAAUUGGAUCUCCCAGUGGAACUGCUUUCACAACUGGAACUCCAAGUACAUGUGAAUUUGCUAGUCCGAUGUCGAGUGAAACUUUGAAUGCAGUAGCUUGCGUCUCAACAGAGAAUGACAUGCCGGAUAAGGAGGGUUUGAUUGUUGUACCAAAGGCAUAAUUUUUAAUUGAUGAGGAAAUUGUGCUCGGAUAUGCUUUUCUUGAUGAUUGCCAGGAUGACACUGAUGAUACCCUUUCAAUGGACCCAGUGCAGGAGGAAAGUUCGUUUACAGGACAGGAACCUUGUCAACCACCAAAGACCACCAGGCUAAGGCUUCACAGGGGAAAUGUUUUCAAUGAACUAAAUGCUGCUUUUAAAAAUGGUUGUGUGUUUGUAGAUGAGUCUCUCUUGGAGAUUGAGAUGGUCUUACCCAAUGGUAACACAGAGAAAGGAGAAGACAAUGGUGGAGUUUUGCGUGAUGCGCUAAGUGAGUACUGGGAGACCUUUAUUAUGAAAUGCACUACCGGAAACUUACUUAAAAUACCAAUGAUGAGACAUGACAUGAAAGAUGAGUGGGAACACGUAGCUAAAGUCAUGGUCCUAGGCUACAACAUGGUGAAGUACUUUCCCAUUGUGCUGGCCAAGCCCUUCCUCUCCUACUGUCUUGGACUUGAAAUCAUGGAUGAUGACCUUUUUUCAACAUUCUUAGAGACAGUUUCCAUUGACGAAAAAGAAGUUGCUGAGCAAGCGAUGAAAGACUUCCAAACUAUCUCUGGAAGAGAGGAAUGGUUGGAUUUCCUACAGGCACAUGAUGUCAAACUUCUCGUCACAGAAGCAAAUGUCAGAAAAACCUUAUUUGAAGUGUAAGUAAAAGAAAUAGUUCAGGAUCCUACAUAUAUAGCAGAAUGUUGGAGCAGUGUGCUGAAAAGGCUGAAACUGUCCCCAGGACGAUUGGAUGAAGUGCUGGCAAGCCUCACUCCUACACCCAGGAAGGUAGUUGCCAUGCUACAACAUGAGAUCCUCAACAAGAGAGAAAAUCAGAUUCUUGAUUUUUUCAAGAAGUUUACAAGGAAUUGUGGUGAACUUCGGCUGAGGACAUUUCUCAGGUUUUGCACUGGUGCAGACCUCUUAGUUGCCCAGAAUAUCCAGGUCUGAUUCAUGGAGCCGGAGAGUAUGUUUACUAGAACACCCCAGGCCCACACAUGCGGCUGUGUGGUGGAAGUCCCAAACAAGGCAACAUUUAAUAUACUUUCAUAAAGAAACACUCCCAUCAUUUUUGAACAUUGUUUAUCAGGUACUUUACACCUUAUCCCACAAGUUGGCCUGUGACCUCUGGGUCAAGAGUGGAUAGAAUUAGGCGGACAUCCUCUUUCUGUACAGACAGUCCCCUUUCUUUGCACUUAGUGUACAUUCACCUGUAGCCAUGCAAAACCCCUGAGCCUUGAAGCUCCUCCCUUAUGAAUUGAACAGUUUCUGCUAAAUUGUCAAAUAUUUUCAGGCGAAACAGUCCAUUCUUCUUCAGGAUUUGUUUUAGGAUUGUCAGACUGAGAACAAUCCUGUGCUUAACACUCAAAAUAUGGAGGACGUCUGUAUAUGUGAGGCUCAAGUUAAAAUAAAGUUCUAUUAACUCCAGUCUAUCCAUGGGAAUAUGCGUGGAUUGUGGAUACAUCAUGGAUGACUACUGCUCACUAACACAUUGCCUAGAGAGAGAAACCGACAAGGAGAAGGAUUAUUAGUGAUGUCAAUAAACUCAACACAUAAUUGUACACAUUGUUUUUGUUUCAAUCUCACCAGGAAUACUCUCAGUUCAUCCAAAAGCACUUUCAGCACUUUUUAAGAUAGGCAGCAGCAGAUUUUACUUGCUUGAUUUUAGUUAAAACUGAACUGAGCUCUCCCACUGAUCAAUUCAACUGGAUUGAUUUUCCUUGAGUGUUAGUUCUAUUAUUUUGAGUUUCCUCAAAGAGUAAUUGUCUCUUUCCUUACUCUUUCCCCUGUCCACUCACUGCAGUCAAGUAAUAAGCACCGGAAUGGAGUGAAGGUAUGCUGCACCAGCAGUAAAACAAACUUAAUCCAAGGCUUCACUAAUGUUAUUAGCCAUCACCAUGUUACAUUACCAGCAGAUGCAGGAAACAACACUACGUGUGUGCAUGGAAAACACAUGGUGCCAUAGUGUUCCAGUUUGGGUUUUUAAAAUCUGGUAACCUACCAGACAGAGUAAAUGGAAAUUCAAAACUUCAUAACUGGACAAGCACUCGCACCGUUAAUGGAAGUCUCAAACACAAAGUUUGGCUAACAAGAAAGCCUGGGAAGCUAACGGUUGGGUUUGGAGUGCAAAGCACAAUAAAGACAACGUUACACAACGUAAGCUAUGAAAAGUCCAAUUCAAAAGACAACAUAGCAUUAAAUCGACCCUUAAACCUUGAUAAAUUGGAUUUACCAGGCAGAUGUACGCCGUCGAAAAGUCCUAUGGUUUCUUGCUCGCUGCAGAAAAAAGUGAAGAAGGAAGCGCGCACAGAUUGCAAAACCGAGGGCACGGAUUGCAAAACCGAGGGCACGGAUUACAAAACCGAGGGCAUGGAUUGCAAAACCGAGGGCACGGAUUACACACGGCUGUUUUUUAUUGUUUUUUUUACCUGGCACUAGGGGGGCUCCAUACUAUUGCACAAGGCCGGAGCAGCCGUGGACAAGAUGUGAUUAUCCAGUGGCAAGCCGGAACGUGACGCAUACAGUAGGCGGGGCCUAGAGAAGGGGGAGGAGACAAAAGAAACCCAUCCCACCACCGAUAUAGACACACGAAUGGCACAUAGGGCAAACAGAAUUUUUCUGCAGAACAUAACAAAUGGUCGUCACUUCUUUCUCAUAUAUUUACAUUUAAAAAUGUUCGGACCCAAACAUACCUCUCACUUUCCACCAUUUUUCUUAUCACAAGAUCUGCUGAAGCAAAGUUGCAUGACUUUGAUGCACAUUGAGAAAUAUAUUCAGUAAAUCUGUUUCCAUCGUGAUUUAUGCACACGUCGUCUUAUCGUAUAAAGAAUUUAUCUGACUCAAUUGAGUGCAAAGUUUUUUAAAUGCAUUUUUAGAAUGUAUGUGCAUCUUGGUUUUUCCAUCCAGCGGUUUUUUAUGCGAUAGUGCAAAAUGCGCGUAAAAAUAGGUGGAUGGAAACAUGGCUAGUGUCUCAGUAUGAGCAGUUUUCAUUUUCGCCCUAACGUUUUGUCAUGUUGGAACAAGCCCCGCCCAGUGACUCUGCCUUGUUCUCUGUGCUGGAGUAGCUACAGUGAUAAGCUACAGUGAUAAGAAGAAUGUCUCAGCUUUGUAAGCUUUGUAAAUGUUCUGUUGUUGGCUGUAAGAAUGAACAUAAGAGUCUUCAUGUACUCCCAGUAUCAGAACCACUGAAGAUGCAGUAGAGAAGUUUUAUUUUAAUAAAAUACCUUAAAUCAUUUUACACCAGACUGUUUUGUGAACGAGGGUCAAUACAAAACAGGAUUUGCUAAAAACUUGAUUCUCAAGCAUGGAUCAGAGAUCCAUUGCUUGAUUAGAUUCGUGAUCUAGAUUUUUAUCCCAAAGACAUAAGUAUCGCACUUUAUAUGUUGUGAAUGUUUGCAAAUCGCCUUUCUGAACGAGCUUGUUAGCAGAUUCCACGGCUAAUGCGGCUAGUUACCAUUGUCUCUGAUUGUAUUCACGGAUAUCAUUUUUAUUUUUAACCCGAAAAGGCUUACUGUCUGUAUAAUUCAUAACGGUACAUUUAUUAUGUACAAUACAGUUACAGAUUGUACAGAUUGUACACAGUAGAGAUAGUGUUUUUGAAAACUGUGUAAGUUUUGUGCGAUUCAUUUUACAUCAGACUGCUUUGUGAAUGAGCUUGCAGCUUGUUAGCAGAUUCCACGGCUAAUGUAGUAUCCGAAGCAUUUCUCUUCCGGAAAGGAGGCAAGGAGCAGCAGCUUGUUUGCAUGUAAAGAGACACACACGAAAACAGCCUGUUUUUGCUUCCACAUAAAAAGGGGCAUUUCAGCAUGGUAUAGAGGGUAUGCAUUGAUGUCACUUUCCUACCAGAACGCAGUUUGUUUGUAGCUAACACUGCUUCCACUUACUAACAUUAUAUGUUUGUGAAGUAAAAGUCAGAGAAUGAAUGCCCCUCCGUUAUUCAUCAGUGGAAAUAGGCAGCGUUUACAAUGAAAUAUGUAGCAAAUUAUUCAUCAUUGUACACCACAUGCCAAAAGAGCUUACACUGCUCCACUUAGUAAAAAAAAAAGGACUGAAUGUGGCACAAUUUUGGCACUCUGUAAAAAGAUAGCUGUUAGCACAGUCGAUUGCAUAGCAGCCUUUUCCCAUUUUAGAUGUGUUUUUUCUGUUUUCCCCACUGGGGUCAAUUUGACCUCAGCAAUUUAAAACUCCAGAAUAAGAUUUUUUAAAUAAAGUUUUAUGUCUC